GAUGAAGAACGUAGCGAAAUGCGAUACUUGGUGUGAAUUGCAGAAUCCCGUGAACCAUCGAGUCUUUGAACGCAAGUUGCGCCCGAAGCCGUCAGGCCGAGGGCACGCCUGCCUGGGCGUCACACGCCGUUGCCCCCCCGCGCCCCGCACCCAACUCUUUGGGAGCGACCGCGGGGCGGGCUGAUGAUGGCCUCCCGUGCGCUCCGCCGCGCGGUUGGCCCAAAUACCGAGUCCCCGGCGACGUGCGCCACGACGAUCGGUGAUUGAGAGACCUCUGUCGCAAGUCGUGCGCGCCCGUCGCGUCACGCGGGCUCGCAUAGCGCCUCGCGCCGCACCCGGUGCGGAGCUUUCAACGCGACCCCAGGUCAGGCGGGGUUACCCGCUGAAUUUAAGCAUAUCAAUAAGCGGAGGA
rnacentral:misc_RNA from 1 species